CGACCUACGGGUGAAAGCAGGGGAUCUUCGGACCUUGCGCGAUUGAAUGAGCCGAUGUCGGAUUAGCUAGUUGGCGGGGUAAAGGCCCACCAAGGCGACGAUCCGUAGCUGGUCUGAGAGGAUGAUCAGCCACACUGGAACUGAGACACGGUCCAGACUCCUACGGGAGGCAGCAGUGGGGAAUAUUGGACAAUGGGCGCAAGCCUGAUCCAGCCAUACCGCGUGGGUGAAGAAGGCCUUCGGGUUGUAAAGCCCUUUUGUUGGGAAAGAAAUCCAGCCGGCUAAUACCCGGUUGGGAUGACGGUACCCAAAGAAUAAGCACCGGCUAACUUCGUGCCAGCAGCCGCGGUAAUACGAAGGGUGCAAGCGUUACUCGGAAUUACUGGGCGUAAAGCGUGCGUAGGUGGUCGUUUAAGUCCGUUGUGAAAGCCCUGGGCUCAACCUGGGAACUGCAGUGGAUACUGGGCGACUAGAGUGUGGUAGAGGGUAGCGGAAUUCCUGGUGUAGCAGUGAAAUGCGUAGAGAUCAGGAGGAACAUCCAUGGCGAAGGCAGCUACCUGGACCAACA
rnacentral:rRNA from 1 species